rnacentral:lncRNA from 1 species
UUCUUGGGCCUCUCCCUCGGCAUAUGGAGGUUCCCAGGCCAGGGGUCCAAUCGGAGCCGCAGCCACCGGCCUACGCCAGAGCCACAGCAACGCGGGAUCCGAGCUGCGUCUGCAACCUACACCAGCUCACGGCAACGCCGGAUUGUUAACCCACUGAGCAAGGGCAGGGACCGAACCCGCAACCUCAUGGUUCCUAGUCGGAUUCGUUAACCACUGCGCCACGACGGGAACUCCUGAGAUCCCUGCAUAGGAAGAGAUUAUAUUUUUGAAACAUUCAUAAAUGCUCCCCCUUAACCCCUAAAAGAAAAAGUAAACUGGUGAGAACGGCAUUUAAUGCUUCAUUGAAAAUUCUGGCUUUCCUCCUCUCCUUCUGCCUGAGUUGGUCUAAGUGGCUUAGGUGGAAAGGCUGUGAAGAGUCAAACCGCUGAGCCUUCACUCAGAUUGAGUCUUACAGGGAUUCUGAACCUUUUUUGGUGGGUUACUACCACCUGGAGAAUUUUUAAAAAUAUAUACUUAAGCAAGCUCGGAGAAAAAAUGCACUUGCCACACCAAAUGCAAGCGAAUCAGAUUCCAAGCCCAGCCGGGCGUCCUCCAGAGCCCCUGCAGUCAACCCCGAGGACCCCUGCUCCAAUAAGGCACCUUCCUGAUUCCUCUGUGCCUUGUUGGGUCAAAGUGCUGAGCCUGGGGAACAGAAACUCCUUUGUCCCUGAGAACCCCUAGCUGCUGCCCUCUUAAGAUCACCCAGAGAAGCGAAGGGUUGAAAAUAAGAAAAUGGACAUGGUAGAAGAUACUAUGAGAAAAAAAAAAGUAUAUCUAUGCAUGACUGGGUCACUUUGUUGUACAGCAGAAACUGAUAAAACAUUGUAAAUCAACUAUAAUAAAAACUUUUUUAAAGGAAAAUAUUGGCCCCCCAAAAGGAGAAACAAUAGAAGGAAGACUUCAGUUCUGUUCAAUAAGCAGCCACUGCCUGCCUCUUGGUACAGAGAGCAGCAGAAAUGAAAAGCACCUUGAAGUGAAAAAAAAAAAAAAAGAGAGAGAGAGAGAGAGAAACAAAGGAACCAUCCAAGAGAAGGAAAAAAAAGGCAGAACGGAAAGGAAGAGGCAUAGAGGGAACACGGGUUGUAACUUCCUAUUUUUGUGGACAAUCAACAGGACUCUUUCUUCAUCGUAAAAGAAGCAGAUGGUGUAUUUUCCCCACCAGAUAAUUAACCAUAAGUUCUUCGUAUAAUUCUUUUCAGCUUAAAAGUAUUCCCAUGCACAGUGUAUAGUCACAUAGAGUCAUAUAUGGAUUGACCAUAUACGUAGUCAGUAUAUUCGCGUAUUGUAUGUAGUCAUCACUCUCUGACAUGGGAAUGAUGGGCACAGGCUCUUCUGUUCCACUUUUUUUUCAGGCAUAGGUUCUGGCCAGUGAGAAAACAUGCAAAGGCAGCUGAAAGUGCCUGACAAGGGCUUCCUCACUCCCAAGGAGACAGGAGAAGGUAAAACCUCUCUUCUUUGGGAAUCGUGCAUCUAGCUAUGAUGUCUAGAACUUUGGCAGCCCACUUGCUCCCAGCCUGGAGAGAAAGGCAACAGGAAGGACAUUGUCAGCCGUGCUCCCUUUCAGAUGUGACAGUGUGUGUUCUAAGGUAGUGACUCCAAAAAAAGCCAGGACUUGGAGUCACACAGCCUGGAACUGAAUCCCAGGUCCACUGCCGCCUGGCUCUGGUACCUUGGACAAGUCACAGAAUGUGACCAAGUGUCAGAGUUUCUGUCUAUACAACAGAAAUCAUAAUAAUAGCUAGAGGAAAGCGUUGUUAUGAUUGAAUGGCAUAAUCUACGUAAAGCAUGUAAGGAUCACCCCUUGUUGGUUGAAAGGAGUUGAAAAUGUGUAACUACACCAAAACCAGCACAGGGAUGUCUAUUGCAGCCCUAUUCGUAGUUGGCCAAACUUGGAAGCAACCAAGAGGUUCUCCAGCAGGUGAGGAAAUAAAUAAACGGUGGUCCAUCCAGGCAAAGGAAUAUUACUCAGCACGAAAAAGAAAGUCCCAGAAAGACCUGGAGGAGGCUUCUGAGCCUGACAGAAGCUUAUGAAAAGGCUACUUAUUGCAUAAUUCUAACUCUGUGACUUUCUGAGAAAGCAAAAUUAUGCAGACCGUGGAAAGAUCAGUGGUUGCCCAACGUGAAGGGAGAAUGAAGGAUGGCUAGGCAAAGCACAGACAAUUUUUAGGGUCGUGAAACUGCUCUGCGAGAUGCUAGAAUGGUGGGUACGUGACAUUAUUUAUUUUGUCCAAAUCCACAGAACGGACAACACGAAGAGGGAAGCAUAACACAAACCGAAGACUCUGAGUGCUUACAAUAGGUCAGUGCAGGCUCAUCACUUGUGACAAAUGGGCCACUCUGGUGGGAUGUGGAUGAUGGGAGGCUGUGUGCUUGGUGGGGUCAGAGGUAAGAAAUCUCUGUACUUUCUGCUCACUAUGGCUCUGCACUUUAAAACGCUCUAAACCAUAGAGCCUAUUUAAAAGGAAAAAAAAAAAAAAAGCAGUGAGGAAAAAGAGGAGAAAAGAAAAAUAGAAUAGAAAGUUAGACCCUGACCGAAUUUUUACGAUAAUCUUGCAUCAGAAAAUCCAGCUGGGGUUGAAUGUUCUGCUCCCAGGGACGUGGCAUUUCCAUCAUGACUUUGGUUUUCACCCUCCAAACAGAGCCACUAGUCUGUAUCUAAUUGUGUUUGUUUUUCCCUCUGCAGGGAUGUUUAACAGCCCCCUAACCACGGAGAUGGCCCCAUAAAAUUUUAUGACAACAAUUUCUUAAGUGAAAUUUCCAUUCAGUCUGUUUGUGGGACCUUCAAAAAAGCCAGAGAAAGCCAAAUAGAUAUAACUCGGGACAUUUUUCUGAGGUCUAAUUUAAUUAUAAAUCAUUUCUUUAUGAGCCUACCAUUCAGCACUCCUACAAUUCCAUUGCAGCACAAAAAUAAUUUACAGUCCCUGCAAGAGAAUGAGCUCAAGCCUAGAACCAAAGGGCACCCGGAACAUUAUUGCUUUGAGACACUUUCCAGGUCAUGUUCUGAAAGUGUGACACGUGACCUUGAGGGUUGGCAAACUCAGCCCCCCAACCCCCGCCCAUCAGGCCAUCCUCGGCAGGCUCAGAACGGAGCGGUGCCAAGGGGCCUGGAGAGUUUUGCUGGAGCGGAGAAGCAAGACCCACAAACAGUGGUUCCUCUCCACCCAGAGAAGUUCUGCUAGCUGUCUUUCCAGCGUUCACCCCAAGGCGGUUAGCAAACGGCUGGGCUGAAGCAUCACACGGCCUAAUUUAAGACAGAGGGUUCAGAGAUGGAGUCUAAAUUAUUGGGUGUGAAAUGCAAAUAGAUUUAGCAGCUUUACCACGAGUUAUGUGGCCUUCAGCUAGGCCUGUUGAAGCGGGGUUUUCUUCUCCUUCCUCUGAACAUCUGGACCCGUGUUAAAGACUCUGGGAUCUGUGAAAGCCGGCCUCAUGUUCAUGACAGCUCACGGCUCUCGUGAAGGCGAGCCAGGAUCACGUUCACUCUGGGAGGCAGGGAUGGAACUUGUCAGGAAGACUUGUUCAAAGGUAAGAAGGCAAGGCGGGGAUUCUGAGAGUGGGAAGCUCCCAAGUCUGGCAUCAACUGCAUGACUUAACAAGAGCAAGACGCCUAAGCUCUCUGAGCUCAGUUUUCUCUUUAAAAAAUGGCAACAACAGAAGGUCAUAGCGAUGAUUUUUACGAUUCUCAUCUAUAGCACGGGCACCGUUGCAACUCAGGUGACCAAAAGGAGAAAGUACCUUCAAGGUCGCAAAAGGCUUCUUACACCCAGGAAAACUGCCAAUAUGUAUAUGGUUCUGUGCUACAGAUUUUAUAAAUAAUUAACUCAUAUAAUCUCAGUCUAUCUAUGAGAUGGUCCUAUCAUUAUUCCCAUUUUACAGAUGGGGAAACUGAGGCCUAGAGAGGUUUCUUCCCCCAAGGUUGUCAUGGACAUUUUGUGUUUUUUCCCUAGAAAAAUAAAUUUUCCAACCAGUAUUUUUUUUCUGCCGUCAUGGAGCCAUUUUAAAAUAUGCCAUGGUUGUGACACAUUUCUGGGUUCAGAACUGAAAGAGGAUGCUACAGGUGACGGCUGGCCCUGAAUGCCUACUCCACAUCAACCCUGGGAAAGUGGCCUGCCCUUCAGGGUGACUUGGUGUCCCUUCAGUGCUCCCUCUGGGCUCUAAGCCGCCCUUACCGCCACCGGAAGUUCAAGAGCUCAGUGGUGAUAAAAGCACACUGGCUAUUGGCUGGGACCCUCACAUGGAGCGCUUGCCGAUUCUCCCAUGGAAAGGUGGGAGCACGUGAUUUACACGUGAAGUUGUGAAUUACAGUGGACAUUAUGAAUCUGAAAGCACAGAGUGCCCUCUGCAUGGAAGGUCCAGAAAAUGCAAAUGUGCGAAAGACAGAACCACGCAGUUCCAGAUUGAUGAGGCGGCCAGGCUGAGCGUGCUGGGCAGUCAGUAACCCCAUUAUCGUGGGCCUGGGCUGUACUCCAAACAAACAGAAAAAUGCAUUAAACCCUAUGGGAUCCCGUACACAGGUAUGCACCCUCGUCACCCUCAUCUAACACCAUUUUUGACCACGUGGGUGCAGGUCUCACUUUCCUAGAGAGAGGACGCAUUGCAGGUGUAGCCGUCCCCUCACCUGCGUGCCCAUGCCUUCUCCCCUCUCUCUCCCUGGAGCAACCACACACCUGAAACUGACGUGUAUCUCCUGUAUGCACUUCCUGGAGCUGCUGCAAUAAAAUCCCACAAACUGGGGGACCCAAACAACCAAGAUGCAGUGUCUUCCUCUUCUGGAAGCUGAAAGUCCUAGGUCAAGGUGUCAACAGAGCUGGGCCCUUCUGCAGGCUGUGAGGGAGGGUAUCUCUAGAAGAUUCUGGGAGCCUCAGGUGGUCUUGGUUUGCAGGUGGCAUUCUCCCUGUCUUCACGUCAGCCUCCCUCUGUGCACGUCUGUCUCUCUGUCAGCUCAAUUUCCCUUUUCAAUAAGGACUUCAGUCAUUUCGGAUUAGGGUCCAUCCUGAUGGCCUCAUCUUGAUUUGAUUACAUCUGCAAAGACCCAUUUCCGAAGACGAGUCCUAUUUACAGGUGUAAGGUGGGAGUCAAGACUUCAGCCUCUUUGUGGGGAAACAAUUGGACCCUUCACACAUCUCAUGCAUGUUUUUGCACUUGAUAUGACCACCUUUAGGCUUGUUGGUGAUGCUUUUAUUCACACUGAGACUUCCAGCGUUUACAAUCAAAAGAGCCCCUUGGUUCUAGUCAGGAAGCCUCAUGAAGCCUAUGUGAUGAAACAUACAUGAUUAUGUCUGAAAACCUAUAACUGGAGAGAUUUGAGCUCAAAACCCAAUUGAACUGGCCCAGUAAGGUUCACCCUCCACCAUGAAGGCUCAGCCAUGAAGGUUAAUGCACCUUGCCCCCAACCUCCACCCCACAGCCCGCCCCCAGAAGGAAGACACAAAUCCUGAGAUGCCCUUCCCCACGGAAGAGGAAGUGGGAAAACCACCCUUCCCUGCUUCAGCAGCUGGGAAAGGGUGUGCUGUGGAGGGUAACUGCCUCUCUACAGCAGAAACAGACUCUGACAUCUCAGGGGCUUAUCACAACAAAGGUUUGCUCCUUGUUCUUUUAAAGUCUGAGGUGGCACAGGCAUCCUGCCUCUAACUUGGAGCUCUGCCAUCCUUAAUCCUGUGGCUUCUGGUGGCUUGUCACGGCCUGAGAGGAGAGGGAUGUGGAGAUACACCUGGUCGCAGCUUAUCAACCCCGAGGUGCGAAUGGCCCCACAGAGUCACGUGGUCCAAAAGAAUUGCGAGAGAGAGCGAGUGGGUUGGAAUAUUUGAUUUCCAAUAGGGAAGAGAGACCCAUGAGUGUGCUCCUGUUUUCCCUUUCUGACAAUGGAAUUCAAAAAAAAGGAAAUGAUAGAAAUCCCUAGAUAGGUGUGGGCAAACCCAAGGAUGUCAGAGUCCCUGGCCACAGCCUGGAGAUGCUGCUAUGAAAGUCACCGGGCUAUGUUCCGCCCGGUAGGGCAGCCUUGCCCGAGGGAGGUGGCUGGAGAGAUAAGCCCACUGCUGUACUCCCACUGCCGCGCUGCUUGGAGAAACCAGAAGGUUCUGUGGUUCCCUGUUCUCCACUGAGGGGACACGGAGCUGGUGGACAGGCUGGUGGACCAGCUGACAUGGGGAAGUAAGAUAAAAAGACUGCAGUGUACAGGGUGUUUGCAACCAGAAGCCAGAGGUCCCCACCAUCAAUUCUAAAGGCAGCUGCAGGUACAAUAUCCAUCGUCCCUCGUCCCAAAGG